UUACUUACCUAGCAGGGGAGAUGCCAUGAUUAUGAAGGUGUUCUUCCCUUAUCAUCGCACUCCCGAUGUGCUGACUCCUGCGAUUUCCCCAAAUGUGGGAAACUCGACUGCAUAAUGUGUGGUAGUGGGGGGCUGCAUUCGCUCUUUCCCUUG
rnacentral:snRNA from 1 species